rnacentral:rRNA from 1 species
UGCGGGGGGAGCAAGCGUUGUUCGGAUUUACUGGGCGUAAAGGGCGCGUAGGCGGCCACUGCAAGUCAGUUGUGAAAUCUCCGGGCUUAACCCGGAAAGGUCAACUGAUACUGCAGGGCUAGAGUGCAGAAGGGGCAACUGGAAUUCUCGGUGUAGCGGUGAAAUGCGUAGAUAUCGAGAGGAACACCUGCGGCGAAGGCGGGUUGCUGGGCUGACACUGACGCUGAGGCGCGAAAGCCAGGGGAGCGAACGGG